rnacentral:rRNA from 1 species
UGAGGAAUAUUGGGCAAUGGACGAAAGUCUGACCCAGCAACGCCGCGUGGAGGAUGAAUGCCGUAAGGUUGUAAACUCCUUUUGAGAGGGACGAACAUCUAUAUUUCGUAAGGAAUAUAGCUUGACUGUACCUUUAGAAGAAGCCCCGGCUAACUACGUGCCAGCAGCCGCGGUAAUACGUAGGGGGCAAGCGUUGUCCGGAUUUACUGGGUGUAAAGGGCGCGUAGGCGGAUUUGUAAGUCAGAGGUGAAAGCCCGCAGCUUAACUGCGGAACUGCCUUUGAUACUGCUUAUCUUGAGUUCGGAAGAGAGAAGCGGAAUUCCAGGUGUAGUAGUGAAAUACGUAGAUAUCUGGAAGAACACCAGUGGCGAAGGCGGCUUCUUGGUCCGUAACUGACGCUGAGGCGCGAAAGCGUGGGGAGCAAACAGG